UACGUAGGGUGCGAGCGUUGCCCGGAUUUAUUGGGCGUAAAGGGCGCGUAGGCGGCUCUGCACGUCCGUUGUGAAAUCGCCCGGCUCAACUGGGCGGGGUCAGCGGAUACGGCGGAGCUCGAGCAAGCUAGAGGGCAAUGGAAUUCCCGGUGUAGUGGUGGAAUGCGUAGAUAUCGGGAGGAACACCAGUGGCGAAGGCGGCCAUCUGGAUCAACACUGACGCUGAGGCACGAAAGCGUGGGGAGCAAACAGG
rnacentral:rRNA from 1 species